rnacentral:lncRNA from 1 species
UAGGAUCUUGCUAUGUUGCCCUGGCUGGGAUGCAGCGGCUAUUCACAGGUGCAAUCAUAGUGCACUACAGCCUCAAACUCCUAGCCUCAAGCAAUCCUCAUGCCUCAGCCUCCAGAGUAGCUGGGCCUACAGGUACUUAACACCUCAUCUGGCAUCCCCCAGUCAGAUAUUUGGAUGAGACCCCUGCCUUGGCUAACACCUUGAUGAAAACCUGUGGAAGGUUCUAAGGCAGGAGCAAUAGCAAAAAUUGGGAAUGGGAAGAAACAGGUACCAGCCAGGACACCUGAACGAACUUGGAGCUCAGGAACCCAGGAGGGGAUUGGAGAGAGUGGGGAGACUCCAUGGUCCACAAUGAAUGCUCCUUCCCCAUCCGAAAAAAUCCCCUAGCCCAGUUUUUGGGCAGAUGCCAGACUUUUAUUCUGAAGCGUGGGCCACAACCUAUGAGGUAAUCUUUGGAGCUUCAUUCUGAGGCGGAAUCCCAUUGGCCAGUUGGGGAAGCCCCUCCCAGGAUUCCUGGCGCUCCGCCUUCCCUGAAGCCUAUAAAAGCGCAGGUCCCCGCCUCGGCAGCCACGGGACACCUGCAUCUGCCAACAAGACUGGAAGCAGAAAGGGACAGAGACGGCGAAGUUUGACGGUCUGGAAAGCAGAGACCAGCAGGGCUGACUGCUUGGGAGCACGAGGGACAGCUCUCCACCGACCGAAGGAGGAGAAUGCUAUUUAUUUCAGCACCAAAUAUCCGGACAGCGCCUCUCGGGAGGUCCGAGAAGAGAACCGCGAUCUGUUUCAGCACCGGGGCUCAGGACAGUUCCCAGCGGGCUCCGUUUCGUCUCCAGAACCCUGGACAGCUCCUCCAGUAGAGACGGGGUUUCACCAUGUUGGCCAGGCUGGUCUCAAACUCUUGACCUCUUCAUCCGUCCACCUCAGCCUCCCAAAGUGCUAGGAUUACAGGCGUGAGUCACUGCGCCUGGCCCAAGUCCGGAAUUUUCAACAGGACAUGGGUGUUACUGUGCCCAUGUGACAUUUGGGGAACCCAAGGCCCUGAGAAAGGCAGAAAAAUAACCCACGCAGGGACUCUCAGCCCACAAGUGAAGCUGAGAACCGGGAAUGGAAAACAGGGAGGCAGCACAGAGGCAGGAAACUCAGGUGUCAUAGCUUGGCUCAGCUUGGAAUGCACUCCCUCCACCUCCAACCAGAGCUCCCCACAACUGACCCUGCCUUCUUCUGCAAGCUCCAUUUCAUCAAGGGAAACGAUCCUUAUUGCCUCACCAUUUCCCACGUGAAGUCUGUAUUGACAUUCUCAUAGACCUGGGAUAUUGUGUCUGCAGCACAUAGUCCAAUUAUUUUCAUGUUAUCUACUGACAGGUCUAUUUGUCUCCCUGUUACACUGUGAGCUCCGUGAGGGCAGAAACAAUGUUAGUAUUUUCACUGCUGUGUCCCCAGCGCCUGGUCCGGGGCCCGGCACACAGCAGGCAUAUAAUAAGCAUGUGUUGAAUCAAUAAAGGCAUCAAAGAAUAAACCAAUACAUCAAUCAAUAAAUGAAUGAAUGGCCUCAGCACACACAGGAAGAUCCUUCUUCUAGGUCUCCCCCAGAGAGAUACUGGAGGGCAAUGGUUGCUGGAGGUGUUUAUUGGGGAAGCAUAAUUGAAUUUGUGGACACUUAAGGGCCGGCCAGCCAACUCACAGCCCCAAGAGAGAGAGCCAGGCUCAUUUAAUUAGCAAUUACAAGGCACUGAUUCCUCAUUAGCUCUGGCAACCCUCGUCUCCCUCCUCAGCCCCAGACAAAUGAAAUCUUUCUCUCUCUCCCAGGAGUACUGCCUCAGUGGGUCCAUUAACAAGCAGAGAAAAUGAGAUUAGAAGACACCUAAAUGCCAGAGGCACUUUAUGAAUGGGCUGAGCAGAGGGAGGUUCAAUGUCUGGGUUAGGUCUAAUUGUGGGAGGUUUCCUGGUCUAUUUAGAAUUGCCCCCUGGGAAUGCAAGGUCUUUCAGAAAGGAAAAGGCACACAGAUAUUGCCUUCUGGGGUCCUCAAUGGAGGAGGACAUUCUGCUAUGGGUGUCUCCCAGUCACCCCAAAUUAAUCAUUUCAAAGUGAACACUCAAUCUGCCCAGCCCCUAGCUUCCUCCCCUGACAUGCCCAUGAAUAUGACAGUCCCUCUACAUGCCCAAGAUCCUCCCCUCCUCAUCCACUCCCCAUGAUCCCCAAGAUGAGUCACUGUGCUCAAAUCCAUCCUCUCUCCUCCAGCCCUCUGCCUCCAUGACCUCCCUCCAGCCCUCUGCCUCCAUGACCUCCGCCUCCCUGCAUGUCCGGAUCUCCUCACUGUCUCCCCUCUGAGCAUACACACACAUACAGCCUGUUCAUUCUCUACAUGCAGCGAGGGGACUUUCCAGAACACACAUCUGACCAAGUUCCACUCCUGCCUGUCACCCUUCCAAGAGCCCCACUGACUGCAGAAUAACGUUCAAAUAUCCGGUUGGGCGUGGUGGCUCAUGCCUGCAGUCCCAGCACUUUGGGAGGCCAAGGUGGGUGGAUCACUUGCACAGGACCACAGGCGUGUGCCACCACACCCAGCUAAUUUUUAUAUUUUUGGUAGAGACGGAGUUUCACCAUGUUGGCCAGGCUGACCUCAAGUGAUCCACCCGCCUCAACCUCCCAAAGUGCUGGGAUUACAGGCAUGAGUCACUGCACCGGUCUAAUUUUUUCAGAGUCUCACUCUUGCCCAGGCUGGAGUGCAGUAGCAUGAUCUCGGUUCACUGCAACCUCUGCCUCCUGGUUUCAAGCGAUUCUCUUGGCUCAGCCUCCUGAGCAGCUGGGAUUACAGGCACGUGCCACCACACUUAGCUAAUUUUUGUAUUUUUAGUAGAGAUGGGGGUCUCACCAUGCUGGCACAGUUGGUCUUGAACUCCUGACCUCAAGUGAUCCACCCACCUCGGCUUCCCAAAGUGCUGGGAUUACAGACGUGAGCCACCGCGCCCGGCCAGCCUUUAUUGAUUCUUUUUAAAGCCACACUAACCUUUUAUUUUCCCCCAAAGACCCCUGGGAGCCCUCAGUUUUUCCUGGCAGUUUCAUCUUUGUACCCCUGACCUCCCCACACACACGCCUAGCUCAGUGCUGGCAUCCAAUAUUCACUUUGGGUAUAAAUGCUUGUGCCUGAGCCUAUCACCUUCAUCACACAGAAAAUCCUGGAGGCCACACACCCCUGUAAAGACGAGCCAUUACCCACAGAGGUCCAACCAACUUACCACCCUCUCCCAGCCACCCCCAAGGACCCAGCUUGCAGCUGCCUGCUCAAUGGCUUUAGAAACUAAAAAAGGUGAAUGAGUUUCCAUCACUGCCCUCCUGGGCUUUGCCGUUAUGGCUGGUUAACUUGACAGAAGAACACAUUAUACUUCAUUUUUUGCUGUUGUCUUGUUGGAAAAAAAAGUGACAGCUGGGUGCAGUGGUGCACACUGUAGUCACAGCUACUCAGGAGAAUUGCUUGAGCACAGGAAUUGGAGGCUACACUGAGCAAUGAUCGCCUCACUGCACUCCAGCCUGAACGACAGAGCAAGACCCUCUUAAAAAAUACGUGAGAGAGGGUGCGUAUGAUGGCUCAUGCCUGUAAUCCCAGCAGUUUG